GGAGGUGUGGUAGAGCGGUAAUACAACGGAUUGCUAAUCCGUCAGUUCCUUUUCGGGCUGGGCAGGUUCAACUCCUGUCGCCUCCG
rnacentral:tRNA from 1 species